GGUGUGGUAGCCUAGUGGUUAGUGCAUUGGACUCCAGCCCUGUCCAGAGGUCCAGGUUUGAGUGCUGGCCGGGGCA